rnacentral:rRNA from 1 species
AGAGUUCGAGGUGACCUGCGGAGGAUCAUUACACAUUCGGGGCGCUUCGGCGCUCCUUAUACACCCACCCUCUGCCUACGUGUACCUCUAUAGCUUCCUCGGCGGGCUCGCCCGCCGCCAGGAACCCACGAAACCCCUUGCAUUAUACGCGAAAACUUCUGAUAACAAACCUAAAUUAUCACAACUUUCAACAAUGGAUCUCUUGGUUCUGGCAUCGAUGAAGAACGCAGCGAAAUGCGAUAAGUAGUGUGAAUUGCAGAAUUCAGUGAAUCAUCGAAUCUUUGAACGCACAUUGCGGCCAUAGGUAUUCCUUUGGCCAUGCCUGUUCGAGCGUCAUUUACACCCUCAAGCCUAGCUUGGUGUUGGGCGUCUGUCCCGCCGUUUUCGCGCGCGGACUCGCCUCAAAGUCAUUGGCGGCGGUCGUGCCGGCCCCCUCGCGCAGCACAUUUGCGCUUCUCGGAGGCCCGGCGGAUCCGCGCUCCAGCAAGACCUUUCACGACUUGACCUCGGAUCAGGUAGGGAUACCCGCUGAACUUAAGCAUAUCAAUAAGGCGGAGGA